GAUCAACGCUGGCGGCGUGCCUAACGCAUGUAAGUCGCACGCACCGCGUUCGCGCGGUGAGUGGCGAACGGCUGAGGAACACGUACGAACCUGCCCGGUCGUGGGGAAUAACGCGCGGAAACGCGUGCUAAUACCGCGUACGCUGGCCUGUGAAGGUCAGGAAAGCCGCAAGGCGCGGCCGGAGGGGCGUGCGGCCCAUCAGGUAGUUGGCAGGGUAACGGCCUCCCAAGCCAUUGACGGGUAGCUGGUCUGUGAGGAUGGUCAGCCAGACUGGGACUGCGAAACGGCCCAGACACCUACGGGUGGCAGCAGCGAGGAAUCUUCCACAAUGGGCGCAAGCCCGAUGGAGCAACGCCGCGUGGAGGACGACGGCCU
rnacentral:rRNA from 1 species